CUGAUGAGGUGCGUGUCAUCGGCGGCGCAGGCAGCCAAAACGACGACGGCGUCAAAGGUGUCGGAUUGUGCUCAAAUUCGGUCGGGAGUUGCGGAACGUGCCUACUACCGAUACUCAUGGCAAUGCCAUGACCGGCGAUGUAUUUUGGGCAUCCGAGGUCGUCCGAGGGGCGAAAAUGCCAGGUACUGAUGAGGUGCAUGUCAUCGGCGGCGCAGGCAGCCAAAACGACGACGGCGUCAAAGGUGUCGGAUUGUGCUCAAAUUCGGUCGGGAGUUGCGGAACGUGCCUACGACCGAUAAUCAUUGCUAUGCCAUGACCGGUGAUGUAUUUUGGGCAUCCGAGGUCGUCUGAGGGGCGAAAAUGCCAGGUACUGAUGAGGUGCGUGUCAUCGGCGGCGCAGGCAGCCAAAACGACGACGGCGUCAAAGGUGUCGGAUUGUGCUCAAAUUCGGUCGGGAGUUGCGGAACGUGCCUACUACCGAUACUCAUGGCAAUGCCAUGACCGGCGAUGUAUUUUGGGCAUCCGAGGUCGUCCGAGGGGCGAAAAUGCCAGGUACUGAUGAGGUGCAUGUCAUCGGCGGCGCAGGCAGCCAAAACGACGACGGCGUCAAAGGUGUCGGAUUGUGCUCAAAUUCGGUCGGGAGUUGCGGAACGUGCCUACGACCGAUAAUCAUUGCUAUGCCAUGACCGGUGAUGUAUUUUGGGCAUCCGAGGUCGUCUGAGGGGCGAAAAUGCCAGGUACUGAUGAGGUGCGUGUCAUCGGCGGCGCAGGCAGCCAAAACGACGACGGCGUCAAAGGUGUCGGAUUGUGCUCAAAUUCGGUCGGGAGUUG